GAAAAUCUAAGGGACGGGCUCUAAUCUUAUACAAUUUUAAAUUAAAUAAUUUAAGAGCUUUAUUGGACUGUGAAGAGGCCACUAAGGCCAUGACCCAUUACCACCCCUAGUUGCUUCACGAGAUAGCUUUCGUCAAGCGAAAAAGUGUUCGAGAGAUUCUUCAGGAACUAGGUGAUUGGGUGCACGAUGAUGAAGAGGACAAUAGGUCGUCUCAUCAGGAGGACAUGCGGCCUCAGGAACCCCCAGCUUCGACGGACAACAUUGAUGAUGCCAGUGGAGGUGAUGACGAUUCUGACAGUGGGACUACUGAUAAUGCUGAUGCUCCUGUAGGAGCGACGGCAAUGGGCCGGGUUGGCAAAAUCAUCCAGGCAGUGAUCCGGACACUGGGUGGAAUGCUUGCACAGGGCAAGACGACGAUGUAUAUGCUGAGCAGCGCUGAGCAGCAUGAUGAUGGCAUCGGCACCGAGAGCGGAACCUACGACGGCUACGACGACCGAGAAUAACAUCCAAACCUGCUUGCCUAGGAUCCGCGCGGCGGCAUUGACAAGGCAAGAUGCAGGUGACGACGUGUUUCCUUUCAAGCAUUUUGACGUUGUGCAAAGUCCUCAGGAUCACCAUUACCUCGACACCAAGGAGCAGGUGCGUAAAAGAUCUGUUUUGCUUUCUAAGGUUCUUUAUGAUACGUACAUGUCAGUAGUUAUCCAUAAAAAAAAUGGUGCCUGACAUAUUGUUAGAAUAAAUGGGCCAAAAGUCUAUUAAAAAUGAUCAAUAAAUCCCAAGGCACAUGAUUUUAGGGUAGUUACAAUUGUAACGGCACCGCAUUGGAAGUUGAGAAGGGUGUUGUGAUUUUGGAUCACCAUUUGAUGACUAUUAAUUGACCCGUGGUUAGUGACUAGUAACGGACAUUUCAAUGGCAAGGACUUACUAGUUUUCAUGGCAUUAAGCUAGGCAGCCAAAGGUCCUUCACGGUGUCUUUUAUGGUGCCUUUCAUGGCAUUAAGCUAGGCAACCAAAGGUCUUUCAUGGUGUCUUUUGAUGGCAUUAACUCGGGCAGCCAAAGGUCAUGCCUGGGGCCUAUAAUGAGGCAUCCUUUUUGUGUCUUCCAAAUGUACACGACACAAAGCUUCACCGUUGUGCUGCGUUUCUGCUGCCCCAUUCCGGUUCUUGCGCGCACGAGCACCGGAAGAGUAGGACUCCGAAACGCUGCUGUCCGUGAGUUCGCCUACUCGGGUGAGGACGGCAAUCACGUUUUUGGGGAGUGUCAGCAGCGGCACGACUACUCGCUUUUGUUCCCAGCGGCGACGUCAUCUCCUUCCUGUUCGGGUGACGGCGCAGCACGACUUCUUCCCGGCGCUAGGCAAAUGAGCGUGAUCAUCACUGCAACAUCUCUGCACUGCAUCGAGCGGGACGACUACAACAACAAAGCACCAUGUCGCUUUCGGAUGCUUCCGGCUCUGCCGCUGGUGCGGUGGAAGAAAGUGGAUCAAAAGAGUGCAAAAGGAAUGGACAAUUCUUGAGACUAGCCUUCCAGACAACAUCUAUCUGCGGGCGUUCGAGGAUCGCAUGGACCUGCUCCAGGCAGUGAUUGUCACAUCCGGUUUUUUAAAAAAAACCGAAUGCAUAGCUAUAUGUAUGUUAGGAUCAAGUUUCAUACAUAUAGCGACGUCAUAAUGGAAUAAUGAGCAACAGUACCACG